AAAUACCCACUCAUGGCAAACUUGUUUGACUAUGAGUGGGUAUUUUAGUGGCACGCACCAACAUGAGGAAGUAGCGGGGCAGGGGCCCCGUGGAUUCCGAAUGUUGGUAGGAUUGCGGGAGUGCGUAGCACGGAGCAAUCCGUAA
rnacentral:sRNA from 1 species